rnacentral:rRNA from 1 species
UACGUAGGGUGCAAGCGUUAAUCGGAAUUACUGGGCGUAAAGUGUGCGCAGGUGGCCGCGCAUGUCGAGUGUGAAAUCCCCCGGGCUUAACUUGGGAAUUGCGCUCGAAACUACGUGGCUCGAGUGUGGCAGAGGAAGGCGGAAUUCUCGGUGUAGAGGUGAAAUUCGUAGAGUAUCGAGAGGAACAUCGUGGCGAAGGCGGCCUUCGUGGACGAUGACUGACGCUGAGACGCGAAAGCGUGGGGAGCAAACAGG